UACGUAGGGGGCAAGCGUUGUCCGGAAUCAUUGGGCGUAAAGCGCGUGUAGGCGGCCCGGUAAGUCCGCUGUGAAAGUCGGGGGCUCAACCCUCGAAUGCCGGUGGAUACUGUCGGGCUAGAGUACGGAAGAGGCGAGUGGAAUUCCUGGUGUAGCGGUGAAAUGCGCAGAUAUCGGGAGGAACACCAGUGGCGAAGGCGGGUCUCUGGGCCGAUACUGACGCUGAGGAGCGAAAGCGUGGGUAGCGAACAGG
rnacentral:rRNA from 1 species